GGAAGUACUCACUGUGAGGUGCAAGAGUGUGGGAAGUACUCACUGUGUAGGGGUGAGGGAAGUACUCACUGUGAGGUGUAGGAGUGAGGGAAGUACUCACUG